rnacentral:lncRNA from 1 species
GGUGAAGCUGUCUGAGGGGUGCUGGAGCGAAGGGGAGGGCUAUAAAUAGGCCUGCGACGGUGAGCCGAUUCGAGAGCGCUGGUGACUCACCGUGGCGCGCAUGGGGGUGUAGGGAGGAGCUGGGGUCAAAACCACGGUCUCAGGACGUGGUUUUGGACAGCCAGAACCAUCUGCAACAGAGGAAGAGAGAUAGGAGUCGAGCAUCCGUGGCCGCGCAACCUUGGCCGGUUCUAGUG